GGAUCAGAGGCCUCGGGUCACCUCCCACCCGUGUUAUUUACCUUGUUGCUUCGGCGGGCCCGCCUUAACUGGCCGCCGGGGGGCUUACGCCCCCGGGCCCGCGCCCGCCGAAGACACCCUCGAACUCUGUCUGAAGAUUGAAGUCUGAGUGAAAAUAUAAAUUAUUUAAAACUUUCAACAACGGAUCUCUUGGUUCCGGCAUCGAUGAAGAACGCAGCGAAAUGCGAUACGUAAUGUGAAUUGCAAAUUCAGUGAAUCAUCGAGUCUUUGAACGCACAUUGCGCCCCCUGGUAUUCCGGGGGGCAUGCCUGUCCGAGCGUCAUUGCUGCCCUCAAGCCCGGCUUGUGUGUUGGGCCCCGUCCCCCGAUCUCCGGGGGACGGGCCCGAAAGGCAGCGGCGGCACCGCGUCCGGUCCUCGAGCGUAUGGGGCUUUGUCACCCGCUCUGUAGGCCCGGCCGGCGCUUGCCGAUCAACCCAAAUUUUUAUCCAGGUUGACCUCGGAUCAGGUAGGGAUACCCGCUGAACUUAAGCAUAUCAAUAAGCGGGAGGAA
rnacentral:rRNA from 1 species